AGCCCUAGGUAGUAAUAUAGGGUAAUACCUGCUCAAUGAAUAGUAUUUUAAUAGCCGCGGUACCUUGACCGUGCUAAGGUAGCAUAAUCAGUUGACUUUUAAAUGAAGUCUGGAAUGAAGGGGAAAAAACGGGAUUCAGCUGUCUCUUAUUUUUUAUUAUGAAUUUACUAAUCAGGUGAAAAGGCCUGAAUAAGAUAAAAGACGAGAAGACCCUUAGAGUUUUUUAAAAUAUUUUGUUGGGGCGACAAAGAAUCAAUUAACAUUCUUAUAUGUAAUGGGACGGAUUUUUCAUGAAUAGACAAACUACCUGAGGGAUAACAGCAUUAUCUUUUUAGGUUUGUGACCUCGAUGUUGGACUAGGAAACCUAUAGGCUAGCCSCUUAUCCGGAAGGUUCUGUUCGAACUUUUUCUUCCU
rnacentral:rRNA from 1 species